rnacentral:rRNA from 1 species
UCGCUCCCUGGCUUUCGCGCCUCAGCGUCAGUGUCGGCCCAGCAACCCGCCUUCGCCGCAGGUGUUCCUCUCGAUAUCUACGCAUUUCACCGCUACACCGAGAAUUCCAGUUGCCCCUUCCGCACUCUAGCACGACAGUAUCACUUGGCCGCUCCGAGUUAAGCCCGGAGAUUUCACAAGUGACUUGUUGCGCCGCCUACGCGCCCUUUACGCCCAG